GCAAACAGAGGGAGUGGGCUCCGGCCUAGGUCAGCCCAGAGAGGGCUCCCACAGAGCAGCGGCGGACUGAAGGACGGAAGGGCUCCUCAAGCGCGGCCAGAGUGGACACCAAGACCGAGGAGGCCCCUAGAGCGAGCGAGGACUGCUAGCAUGUUGUCACCUCUCAAUAUGACAAUGUGCAGAGAAAAGUCGGUGGGUUCAGCCUUGCCAGAUAAAAAGUAAUCAAAGAUACUGAUUAUCUUGGUGGAAUCUUGGAAAAGCUAAGCAGCUUCACUCUUAAUAAACAGACACUGAUCAGCAACGAGUAGUGCAGAGGGAGCUCCUCACAACUCGACCAGUGAACCCAAUUUGAGAACUGCAGGAGAAAUCAAUAUCUAUGCAGAUCAGGAACUUAGAAAACUAUCAGAUAUCUGGAAAUGAAGUAAAGCUUCUAAAGAAAAAAGCAGUGUGGAACUGCAGUGAUUUAAAAGAAAUAAGAUGGGACCCAUACACUCGG